rnacentral:rRNA from 1 species
AGUGAACGCUGGCGGUAGGCCUAACACAUGCCAGUCGAACGGCAGCACAGUAAGAGCUUGCUCUUACGGGUGGCGAGUGGCGGGCGGGUGAGGAAUACAUCGGAAUCUACUUUUUCGUGGGGGAUAACGUAGGGAAACUUACGCUAAUACCGCAUACGACCUACGGGUGAAAGCAGGGGAUCUUCGGACCUUGCGCGAUUGAAUGAGCCGAUGUCGGAUUAGCUAGUUGGCGGGGUAAAGGCCCACCAAGGCGACGAUCCGUAGCUGGUCUGAGAGGAUGAUCAGCCACACUGGAACUGAGACACGGUCCAGACUCCUACGGGAGGCAGCAGUGGGGAAUAUUGGACAAUGGGCUCAAGCCUGAUCCAGCCAUACCGCGUGGGUGAAGAAGGCCUUCGGGUUGUAAAGCCCUUUUGUUGGGAAAGAAAAGCAGCAGGUUAAUACCCCGCUGUUCUGACGGUACCCAAAGAAUAAGCACCGGCUAACUUCGUG